rnacentral:rRNA from 1 species
GACGAACGCUGGCGGCGUGCUUAACACAUGCAAGUCGAACGGAAAGGCCUGCUUUCCCUUGUGGAUUGCGGGUACUCGAGUGGCGAACGGGUGAGUAACACGUGAGUGAUCUGCCCCCAACUUGGGUAUAAGCCUGGGAAACUGGGUCUAAUUCCCGAUAGGACUGCAGGGUGGUGCCUGUGGUGGAAAACGAUUUUCUAGUGGUUGGGGAUGAGCUCGCGGCCUAUCAGCUUGUUGGUGGGGUAAUGGCCUACCAAGGCGGCGACGGGUAGCCGGCCUGAGAGGGUGGACGGCCACAUUGGGACUGAGAUACGGCCCAGACUCCUACGGGAGGCAGCAGUGGGGAAUAUUGCACAAUGGGCGGAAGCCUGAUGCAGCGACGCCGCGUGGGAGAUGACGGCCUUCGGGUUGUAAACUCCUUUCGACCGCGAGGAAGCCACCUGGUUGGAAGGGUGGUGACGGUAGUGGUAGAAGAAGCACCGGCUAACUACGUG